GACGAACGCUGGCGGCGCGCCUAACACAUGCAAGUCGAACGGAGUCAAGAGGAGCUUGCUUUUCUUGACUUAGUGGCGAACGGGUGAGUAACGCGUGAGUAACCUGCCCUGGAGUGGGGGACAACAGUUGGAAACGACUGCUAAUACCGCAUAAGCCCACGGAUCUGCAUGGAUCUGCGGGAAAAGGAUUUAUUCGCUCUAGGAUGGACUCGCGUCCAAUUAGCUAGUUGGUGAGAUAACGGCCCACCAAGGCGACGAUUGGUAGCCGGACUGAGAGGUUGAACGGCCACAUUGGGACUGAGACACGGCCCAGACUCCUACGGGAGGCAGCAGUGGGGGAUAUUGCACAAUGGGGGAAACCCUGAUGCAGCGACGCCGCGUGGAGGAAGAAGGUUUUCGGAUUGUAAACUCCUGUCGUGAGGGACGAUAAUGACGGUACCUAACAAGAAAGCACCGGCUAACUACGUG
rnacentral:rRNA from 1 species